ensembl:lncRNA
AGAAGAUUGACAUGGUACAUGGUACACGCGCACGGUCCAAAAAGAGUGCGCGUCGUAUCCAUAACAACGGAGUUGUUGCCUACUAUUCUUCUACACACUCAAAGGUAUGUAUAAGUAGGCGAAUUGGGACGCAGCAAAACACAAAGUGUCUCUCGUGCGCUGCUUCAAACAUGGAGCUUGCACCAGCAUCCUACUACGGACCCCUGGAUAAAAACAACCUCGUCCUGUCAGCUUUUCAAAGUGCAUUAAACUGUUUGAGACAUGGAAUAAGUAUAAAUCUCGCCUUCCUCCCUCUUAUUUCGAAAAGCACCUGUUGCAAACAGCAGAUUUCCUCCUUGACUCAAAGGUUUUGGUGAUUCUGAUCACACUUUUGAUGAGAGCCUGCCUCCCUCCUUAAAUCCUUCCUCCUCUCUCUUUGACACAGCUGUUGCUGGGGAGUGCUUGCAUUUAAUUUGCCACUUAUUUUCCUUUACUCUUAUUUGGGUUUAUGUGUUAUAAAGGGUCUUUGUUUUGUGUCUCUCAGGAAAGAGUAAGAUUGCAGUAGAUGCUGUGAAUUUUGUGAAGCAGCUCUUCAGAUAUGAACAGUGGAGCAUGUUCAACUCGCUCUCUAUGGCACUUACGUCAGCACUAGAUGUGAGUGCAUCUGUGAUAUGGCUUAAAAUGUCAGCCAGACUGCUAUCUAGUUCUUUUUUCUUGUAGUGUUCACAGAACGUGGAAGGCUGCGCAUUUAGGAAGUAUGAGCUUGAACUGAGGACUUUGGAGGCUGUGGAGCAUUUGAUGUCCACGCAAAGAGUUAAAUGAAAGAAUUUUCAUUUCGGUCCAUCCCUACAAACUAUCCGAUUCCUGGUCAGGUCAGAAAGACAUGCAAUCUUUCACCAUAUUAGUGAAACAUAUUUUCAUGCAUGUCACUGAAUAUGUUGU